CCUACGGGCGGCAGCAGUGGGGAAUAUUGGACAAUGGGGGGAACCCUGAUCCAGCCAUGCCGCGUGUGUGAAGAAGGCCCUCGGGUUGUAAAGCACUUUCAGUGAGGAAGAACGCCUGGUGGUUAAUACCCAUCAGGAAAGACAUCACUCACAGAAGAAGCACCGGCUAACUCCGUGCCAGCAGCCGCGGUAAUACGGAGGGUGCGAGCGUUAAUCGGAAUUACUGGGCGUAAAGCGCGCGUAGGUGGCUUGAUAAGCCGGUUGUGAAAGCCCCGGGCUCAACCUGGGAACGGCAUCCGGAACUGUCAAGCUAGAGUGCAGGAGAGGAAGGUAGAAUUCCCGGUGUAGCGGUGAAAUGCGUAGAGAUCGGGAGGAAUACCAGUGGCGAAGGCGGUCUUCUGGACUGACACUGACACUGAGGUGCGAAAGCGUGGGUAGCAAACAGGAUUAGAUACCCUAGUAGUC
rnacentral:rRNA from 1 species